rnacentral:lncRNA from 1 species
CACUUGAUUAUGGGCAACUUAAUUUAUCUUAGUGCCGCAGUGGACACUGGCAAGUAGUAGACAGUCAAUGAAUACGGACAGAAGAAAGGAAGGGAGGAUGGGAAGGAAAGGAGAGAGGGAAGGGAUAGAGGGAGAGAGGAGCUUAGCGUGUUGAAAGCAUGUGUACAGAAACAAAUGAAACAAAAAUCAAAUGAACAGCAGGACCCGGCUCAAGAGACAGCCGAAAUGCCAGAAAAUUGUGUGGAAUCUCUGAAGAAUGCAAUGGGCUCAGCUCAAUGGUGAAGAGGUCUCCUAUGUCCCUUGUGGCCAAGACAAACCAGGCAAACCUGAGGCUGGACACACAGAACAGAUAUUUUUCUCCUCUUUUUCUUGCAUCUCCAAAAUUUCUAACUUCCUCUUGUAUGAAGGCACCUAGACUUAAGCCUGUGAACUUGUUGUUUCUGAAAAAGGAGUCAGUUGCUAUUGGAAUAUUAUUUAAGGAGACACAUGUCAAUGCCAUUCUACAAAAAUGACACUUGACCCUGGAACUCAGCUUGGCCAAACCUGCCUCCGAUCCAAAUUGUGUUCUCGGUUAUAACUUCAUCAAUGGCGUUUCUCCAAGGCCAAAGUCAAACCUCUGCCAGAGGAAGAUACCAAAGCUUCAAAGGUGGCAAAACACUAUGGCAAAAACAGUUGGGGUAAAUCCUCAUUCAUAAAGAGGAAGAAUCUGUGUAACAGCCUAUGGAAAGAUAUUUUUCUGUCUUCACUGCAACUUCAGCUAAAGCCUUAAAGCUGAUGGUGAAACCAAGGUCUAAUCUUUUUAGUUACUUGCUUCUUGUUGAUUUUUUAACCUACAUUGCUGAAAAGCAGGCUGCUAUAUGCUGUAACUUAGCCUUCACAAGCUUCCUUAUAGAUAAUACCUCUGAUGUAUUGAUUAAUGUAUUAAUACCUCUGAUGUAUUGAUGCAUUGAUUGCUUAAGUUGUUUCUCAGGAACUUAGGGUCAGCUCUUGUCCGGCUUGAACCAGUUGAGACCACUUGGCCUGUGCAAAUGCCCAAGUGGUGGCCUUUUGAUGUCAUAGAGCCAAAAACUCCUCCCUCAGAUCAUGCUAACACCACCAUUUUCUGAAUAUGUGUCUUAUGAAGAGCCAUGAACCCUGACUGUUUGGCAGAUCACAGACCACCUCAUUUUUCCCACUGUUGUUCACCUUUCCCUAUGUCUUAGGCCAAUCCACUUCUUUACCCCAUAUAUAUCCUUCAACCCUAUCUUUGGAGAGGUGGAUUUGAGAGCUAUUCUCUCAUCUCCAUACUGGAUUGCCCUGUGAAUCAAUAUAUUCUAUACUGCAAAA